AGCAGCCGCGGUAAUUCCAGCUCCAAUAGCGUAUAUUAAAGUUGUUGCAGUUAAAAAAGCUCGUAGUUGAAUUUCGGGAUCAAUAUGUCUGUCGUGCCUUCGGUACGUACGGGUAUAAUUGGUUUCUACCUUCUGAUGAACCUUGAUGCCAUUAAUUUGGUGUCUUGGGGACUCAGGACUGUUACCUUGAAAAAAAUUAGAGUGUUUAAAGCAGGCAUACGCUUGAAUACAUUAGCAUGGAAUAAUGAAAUAGGACGUUCGAUUCUAUUUUGUUGGUUUUCUAGGAUCGACGUAAUGAUUAAUAGGGAUAGUUGGGGGCAUUAGUAUUCAAUUGUCAGAGGUGAAAUUCUUGGAUUUAUUGAAGACUAACUACUGCGAAAGCAUUUGCCAAGGAUGUUUUCAUUAAUCAAGAACGAAAGUUAGGGGAUCGAAGACGAUCAGAUACCGUCG
rnacentral:rRNA from 1 species